rnacentral:lncRNA from 1 species
GCAUAAAUACUUGGAACAGGGGCGGCGAAAAAGCUUGGUGCGAAAAAGGGGAAUGGCAGCGGAGAGGAAUGACAAGCGUUUCAAACGAUUUUGAUCGGCUAAAACUGUUUCUUAUCGUCAAAAAUGUGAAAUGACCGAACAAUUUUGAGUUUAAACGGUGAAGAAACAAGGGAACUGAGAGGGGUGAUUGGCGGGAGAAGAAAGUCGAAGUCCAGCAGCGUCUGCGCGAAGAAGACGAUACUGUUCCAAAGUUUUAUUUUUUAACUGUGAUAGGGGAAUCUACCGCGGUUAAGUAAUUAACCGCGGUAUAUUAUGGUUAUAUGUCGCGGUUUCACAACCAACCGCGGCCUAUACUCAUUAAAAAAAUAACCUAAAUGCCAUUUUUGAAAAUUAUUUUUGCACUAUAUACCGCGGUUGCCCG